GCCCGGGUGGUGAAAUGGUAGACACAAGGGAUUCAAAAUCCCUCGCCCAACAAGCGUGAGAGUUCGAGUCUCUCCCCGGGCA
rnacentral:tRNA from 1 species